rnacentral:rRNA from 1 species
UGGGGAAUAUUGCACAAUGGGCGAAAGCCUGAUGCAGCGACGCCGCGUGAGGGAUGACGGCCUUCGGGUUGUAAAACCUCUUUCAGCAGGGAAGAAGCGAAAGUGACGGUACCUGCAGAAGAAGCGCCGGCUAACUACGUGCCAGCAGCCGCGGUAAUACGUAGGGCGCAAGCGUUGUCCGGAAUUAUUGGGCGUAAAGAGCUCGUAGGCGGUUAGUCGCGUCUGCUGUGAAAACUCGAGGCUCAACCUCGGGCUUGCAGUGGGUACGGGCUGACUAGAGUGCGGUAGGGGUGACUGGAAUUCCUGGUGUAGCGGUGGAAUGCGCAGAUAUCAGGAGGAACACCGAUGGCGAAGGCAGGUCACUGGGCCGCAACUGACGCUGAGGAGCGAAAGCAUGGGGAGCGAACAGGAUUAGAUACCCUGGUAGUCCAUGCCGUAAACGUUGGGCACUAGGUGUGGGGUCCAUUCCACGGAUUCCGUGCCGCAGCAAAGCGCAUUAAGUGCCCCGCCUGGGGAGUACGGCCGCAAGGCUAAAACUUAAAGGAAAUGACGGGGUCAUAGCUG